CUCGGGCUGAUGCUAGGGCGCUGUCUCAGGGCAAGGAGGAAAGACGGUAGAAGAGGCUGCGGACCUAUCGUUGGGCUAUAUGAAGUCAAGGGUUAAAGGUUUAGGUGGCCUCAUCGUGGUUAGCAAAACAGGAGACUGGGUGGCAAAGUGGACGUCCACCUGCAUGCCGUGGGCAGCCGCCAAGGACGGCAAGCUGCACUUCGGAAUUGAUCCUGACGAUACUACUAUCACCGACCUUCCCUAAGCCGCUGGAAGACUGUAUUCCAGAUGCUAGCUUAGAGGUCAAGUACAGUCUCCUCGUGAGACAUAGCCUAAUCAAUUAGAUCUAGAAUUGGAAAAAUUGUCCCGUCUGUCACUUGUUUUGUUGCCUUAAUAAGCAUCUGAAUGUUUGGUUGUGGGGCGGGUUCUGAAGCGAUGAGAGAAAUGCCCGUAUUAGGAGGAUUACUUGAGCCCUGGAGGUCAAAGCUGAGGUGAGCCAUGAUUACUCCACUGCACUCCAGCCUGGGCAACAGAGCGAGACCCUGUAUC
rnacentral:sRNA from 1 species